rnacentral:tRNA from 1 species
CAUUAAGAAGCUAAGAGCACUAGCCUUUUAAGUUAGAGAUUGGGAAUCUUAACUUCCCCUUAAUGA